GGGUCACUGCCGUUGCACUUGGCCAGGAAGGACUGCAGUUUGGGUUAAAAUUAUGCACAAAAGGGAGCUUGGGUUCCAGCCAGGUACCAGCACCAACACGGAACUGCUUCGGCCGCAGGACGAGUACUCAGGGAAAACGUGCAGAUUCCCGAAGCACUUGACAAGAUUCCACGGGGUCUGGGAGCGACAAAUUUCGUAUUCCUGCUCUGGUUUGUUGACGACGGGAUAGAUAGGGAAAAUCAAAAGUUCCCGACUCCGAAAUGUAGGUCUCUAGGCCACACUCCUCUCUUACACUCAACUAUACAACAAACACCAUCGUACCUACUUCCCAGAGCGGCGGAGUAGAUGGUGCGCGCCAUGUAAAAAUUCUUAACCCAGACCCAGUCAACAGUAGUCAUGGACACGGACACGGGCAGGAACGCAAAUUGUGCUUUCUCGAAGAAUACGCGAAGAACAAGGACAGACAGGUUUCUAAGCCAGACCAGGAGAGUCUCGCCACCCCACACACACUCAGCAGACCAGAACCAGAGAAACCCCACUAAGCUAGUGCCGGCCUGAAGCAACCAGACACAAAGGAGGAAGAAGUCUAGCGAAAAUAUGGUCACAGAACGAUCAAUUGCCCGUAAUAGCACGGAGACGGAGAGCCGCAAUUACGACUUCAGCAGGAGCCAUAAAACCCAAGGCAAGUAGCAAUCAGACAUGAAAAUUCUACUUCAAUUUUCCGCUGUUCUCUAGAGUCGCGACAGUCCAUGAAGCCAAUUUGGCCGUGCACUCUUCAGGGUGCCUAAGCAGCGCUACGAUAACACCAGGCGGCCUACAAUCCUCUCUAUCUGGCAGCUGCGAAACAUUGCACCAUCUCAGUGUCGAGAUACUUCUCUGUACGUUUUUUAGAUAUCCCCUAAAAAGCUUCUUACCUCCUCGCAAAUCGCAAAGCGUAAACUGUAAACACAUGCACACAACACGAGAUUGGAAUAAUGGAAACUCGUGCUUAGGCCGACUGGUUCCUAUAAAGUUUUUUCCGCGUUUCCACGACUCUCUGUUGUGUGUACGUUGGGACUGCGACACGCGGAAUCCACUUCAAGUGCUUUUCUUGGUUAGUUGUUUUGCCUAUGGUCGAUGGUAAUCUUCCUGUCUACUGUCGCUCUGGAGUGGUGUUCUCUACAUUAGCACAAUAAUUAGAGGAUUUAUAUGCGAAAAUGGAAGUACAGCUGAUAGGGGAGUGCAGCGCUAUGUUGGAUAGCUCCGACAACUCAUCAGGUGCUACCACGCAUAGAUCACAAAAAUAUAUUUGUCUCUUUCCAUGUGUAUGAUCAAUCGACAUGCAUGGACGACCAGACUCGAAUUCUGCUUUAAUUAUCACAUAUUCUGACUUAUCGCUAACCCAGUUCAACAAACAAGAUAACGAUAGCAAAAAACAGCCUCAAACAGUGAAAGUCUGCGUUCCAGGUGUAAAGGGGCUCGACUAUUCACUUCUGUAAAUGAAUUUGGGGUGACAUUUAACUAUUUCAAAAAUUUGGAUAGCUAAGUAUCGAAGAGCCUUCAAUGGUAUCGUCACGCAAUCCGCGCUGACGAGAACUCACUAGCUAAGAUUUUUCUGAAUAUCCAAAUCGAUGGGAAGCGAUCCAAAGGCCGACGCAAAAGCGAUGGUUUCAUGCACUGGAUGAAGAUUUGAGGACCCUUCUGCUUCGCCCAAGCCAAGUUUACGACCAAGACCAGUGGAAAAUCUGAUCUAGACGAACCGACCUCAUUGCCGAAGGGGGACGAAGGCUUUUGAUUAGAUUUUUUUUUAUAACAGUUAAAAACAGGUUCCUGUUGAUAUAAACACAUCAUUUCGUGUUAAAAUUAUAAAUUGGGUUUACAUUUUUUAUUCAAAUUACCCGCAACCUUGUCAUGGUAGGAAGGUUUAGUGGUGGGUGACUUCUGAAGAACCAGGAGGAACCCUAAAUUCUAGGGGUAAUUUAAAAACUCUAAUCCAUGGUAUCGCUAGCGGAGUAACAGGCACCCCGGACGACUCAUCAGAUUAACAAGCUUUGCGUACCACAAAGACUGAUAACUACCACCAUAUUCGUGAAGCCACAUACGGACCAUUCCAUAAAAAAAAAACAAGUCAGGAAACCGGAAGCUAGACGCUUUAGGUAUAAAAGGUUUUGUGUUUGCCUAUGUGAGGAACGAUGAGUA